rnacentral:rRNA from 1 species
CCUACGGGUGGCAGCAGUGAGGAAUAUUGGUCAAUGGGCGUGAGCCUGAACCAGCCAAGUCGCGUGAGGGAUGACGGCUCUACGGAUUGUAAACCUCUUUUAUAAGGGAAUAAAGUGUGGGACGUGUCCCGUUUUGUAUGUACCUUAUGAAUAAGGAUCGGCUAACUCCGUGCCAGCAGCCGCGGUAAUACGGAGGGUCCGGGCGUUAUCCGGAUUUAUUGGGUUUAAAGGGAGCGUAGGCCGGUCUUUAAGUGUGCGGUGAAAUUUUGGGGCUCAACCAUGAGACUGCGGUGCGAACUGGGUACCUUGAGUGCGGUGGAGGUAGGCGGAAUGCGUGGUGUAGCGGUGAAAUGCUUAGAUAUCACGAAGAACCCCGAUUGCGAAGGCAGCCUACCGCAGCGUUACUGACGCUGAUGCUCGAAAGCGUGGGUAUCGAACAGGAUUAGAUACCCUAGUAGUC